rnacentral:RNase_P_RNA from 1 species
GAGGUGUAGCAGAGGGUUGCUUGCUAAAACAAGAGGAAAGUCCGAGCUGCAUUGAGAUAAGGUUCUAUUUAACGAAUAGCUAUCGUAAGAUAAGGGAAAGUGCCACAGAAAAUAAACCGCUUGAAAAAGUAAGGGUGAAACGGCGGUGUAAGAGACCACCGGAUUCUUAGCAAUAAGAAUCGCUAGGUAAACCCAACCUGCAGCAAGAAGGAAUUGGUAAAAAUCUCAAGUAAAAUGCCUUCGCGUGAGCGUUAUUGUGAAAUAAUCGCCAAGAUAAAUGACCCUUUAAUACAGAACUCGGCUUAUAGCUACACCUCUUCU